GGAGAGGCGGCUGGGCCCGGCAUGGGCCGGCCAUGGUCAGGAAGCAGAGACUGGGGCAGAAGGUGGGGAGAAGAGAAGUGCCAAAACUUGUGAAAAGUUGUGUGGUUUGCAACUCCAGUUGUAAACACUGAAAUCAAUGGAAUAUAUUUCCACUGGGAGCCAGUUAAGGGAACCUUUACAUUACCCCAAGAUUAUGCCAGUUGUGUCUGGAGGACCUAUGCAGAAUCGUAUGACAAUAGCGCUCUUUAGAUGUUAAAAAGGUGACCCCGGAGACCAACCUGGCUGCCACUUUCUGCACCAGUUGCAGUUUCCGAACGACAUACAACAUCAGCCCAACGUAACGCACAUUGCAGUUCUCAAGCGUGGAUGUUACCAGCAUAUGAACCACUGUUUUAAGGCCGUUUGUCUCGAGAAAUGGACGUAGUUGGCAUAUCAGCUGGAGGCCUCUCACAAUAAGGCAUUAUUAUUGGAUGUCAUUUCUUGAUGCUACCAAAAAUGCAGAGAGUGGCUGCAAUCCAGAAGAUGAGCACAAUGAAAGAAGCCGGUGUUUUCCCAUUGCUGGCUGUGGACCGACUUCUGCUUUUAAUUCUUGCCCUUCAGCUGACUACAGUACUAAUCAGGAACUAUCAUCAGAGGAAUGCUUCAAGUGAAAGUGGGCACCUUAUAGCCAGUAGACUCUUUAAUGGCCCUUGUAAGCACUUCAAUGCUGCUGAGAUAUUAUUAUUUUUGCCAGAAAUGUAGGAAUCUUGAACUUCUAAGUACAUGUGUUGCUGUAAGCCCUGUAAACUGACAGAGCAAACUGACAGCCAACUCAAACAAUCAAUGGGCAAAUUCAGAUGAUCUGGUGGCAAGAAAGGGGGUGGGAAUCACUGAUUCCUGCUGAGCAUGCAAUCCUGGCACAAGUCGCAAGUGUCAGAUUCCUGAGCAGCACUUCCCCUGUCAGCUGACAUCCACCACUCAACAGCAAACCUAAGUUAUGGAUGCCGAGUGGCGGGGGGGAAAUGCUGCUCAGGAAACCAGAGUCUCUGGGUUUGGACAACACGAAACGUGUGGCACUUGCGACUCACACUGGGGUGUUUGCUCGGCAGGAAGCAAUGAUUACCACCACCUUACUUGCCACCAGGUCGUCUGAACCCAAUGAAUAUUUACAAGUUAUCCUAAUAAUUGUCUCUGAAAAAUACAGAAAUGUAAUCUACUGUCAGAAACAUGAUGAUUAACAACAAUUAAAUCUUCCAACCAAGCAAUCUUCCAAUGCUCGUGGAAUUAUAAAGACACUAUAAUAUUUUUCUGUGCUUC